rnacentral:rRNA from 1 species
AGUAACACGUGGGUAACCUGCCUUAUGAGGGGGAGUAACAGAGAGAAAUCACUGCUAAUACCGCAUAAGCACACAGUACCGCAUGGUACAGGGUGAAAAGAUUUAUCGCCAUAAGAUGGACCCGCGUCUGAUUAGCCAGUUGGCAGGGUAAAAGCCUACCAAAGCAACGAUCAAUAGCCGAUCUGAGAGGAUGACCGGCCACAUUGGGACUGAGACACGGCCCAA